AAAUCUAUAAAAUGUUUAAAGACUUUAGUCACUUAAUAACAAGACAUUAACUUAGUGAAGAUUGAAACAAAUGAGCUUGAAAGGUUUUUUAAGCUACUACACAAUGUCUUCUACCAAUAUAAUCCACUUUUAUACAUUUUGAAUGUAUGAAAUGAUUUCUCAUUAAAGUCAUGAGAAAUAGUGGGAGGUGUGAAAAUGGAUAUAAAAUUGAAUAUGAUUGGUUUAUAGUUGUCUAAAGGAUAAUAGUACUUGACUAUUAUUAAGAGUUUGUAAUUUUAAUUGUUAAAGGACUCAAGCUCUUCAAACGUUAAAAAUUCUAUGUUGUGUGACAUUCUAAAAGAAUAGUCUUUGAAUGCUGGUUUCGUCAACCUAGCAUAAAAUGGUUAUAUGUUGGGAGUUGUCCAUCAUUCUCUUUUAAGAGAACAAGCUAAAUAACUAAGCAUAUGGACAAGUUGAUGAAAAACAAAAGGGAAUAGUUUCAAAAAUGAGUCACAACAUAUGGUUUAACAACAAGACAAUCCAAAUUCAACAUCUCAUGUAACAAUAUUGCUCUAUGUAGUUUUGAUAAAGAAUUAUAUCAACCACCUAGAAGGAAUGGUUGAGUUGUUAUCCUUAGUAGGAGCCAUGCUUCCACUAAAGACUUGGAUAAUUCUUAUAUGACUACAUUAAAGGUCUUAGUAUGACUAAAACUUAAAGUAUGAUGUAUGACACCAUAUAAUUUAAAUGAAUAGACUUGAUAAAGCAAGUCCACAUUUCAUGGAAUUACUUGAGAAGGAAUUCUUUUGUGUAUGAUUCGUUUAAGUUAAGUGGGAGCAAUAUGCAUUCAAAUCAAGAAAAUAUAAUUAUUAUUUUUGAAUGAAUGCUAAGUUACAACAAGGCCAGUGGGAGUGAUGUUAUAAUUUGAGCAACAUGAUGUGAAUAAAGUCUAUUUGAUAGACUUGAUAAAACAUAAAUGUUACUCAAAAAAUGACAAAACAUGACAUGGUCAAUUUUGAAGCAUAAACUUGAAAUUGGACUUAUUGAUAUAGCAAGGCUAUCUCAAUGAUGUUAUAUGGGAAUUAAAUCUCAAAUGUUGUAGAUUUAAGAAAGCUUUUUCCUAUGUGAUAGAAAAUCACUUUCAUAACCCUUAUAAUGAAUAUGUCACAAAAUCACAAAAGGGACACAUGUAUUGACUUGUGAAGUAGAUAUCCAAAAGUGAAGAACCACAGGGGUUGUCACUUUAAGAUAUUACUAUAUCCCAGGAUCAGAACCAAAGCAACUGAAAGAGUAUUAUUGCCUUUAAGAAAGAAACAUCAGAGUGGGACUCUGGAAGCGUGCAUUCACUUAGGUUGUUAACCAAAGCGAAAAUAAGCCAUUUUAAUAAAUGGAACUUCAUAAUAGAUGAAGUACUAAUCAUAUGAAUGAUUGUUAGUAUUGUACUACAAUGGUCUCAAGGUU
rnacentral:lncRNA from 1 species